UUCGUAGAUAUCGUAUAGAACACCAAUGGCGAAGGCAGUCCACUGGAUUGUCGCUGACACUGAGAGACGAAAGCGUGGGUAGCAAACAGAAUUAGAUACUCUGGUAGUCCACGCCCUAAACGAUGCAUGCUUGUUGUUGAUUUCCCUCGGGGAACCAGUGACGAAGCCAACGCGUUAAGCAUGCCGCCUGGGGAGUACGGUCGCAAGAUUAAAACUUAAAGGAAUUGACGGGGACCCGCACAAGCGGUGGAGUAUGUUGUUUAAUUCGAUGCUACGCGAGAAACCUUACCGACCCUUGACAUCCCGGUCGCGAUUUCCAGAGAUGGAUUUCUUCAAUUCGGUUGGACCGGUGACAGAUGCUGCAUGGCUGUCGUCAGCUCGUGUCGUGAGAUGUUAGGUUAAGUCCUGCAACGAGCGCAACCCCCAUUCUUUGUUGCCAUCGGGUAAUGCCGGGCACUCUUGGAAAACUGCCCGCGUCAAGCGGGAGGAAGGCGGGGAUGACGUCAAGUCAUCAUGGUUCUUACGGGUCGGGCCACAAACGUACUACAAUGGUGAUAACAAUGGGUCGCAAUGCCGCAAGGCAAAGCCAAUCCUUAAAUAUUGCCCCAGUUCAGAUUGCCCUCUGCAACUCGAGGACAUGAAGUCGGAAUCGCUAGUAAUCGCUGAUCAGAAUGCAGCGGUGAAUUCGUUCCCGGGUCUUGUACACACCGCCUGUCAAACCAUGAAAGUCGAUUCCACCCGAAUCCGGUAGCCUGACCGCAAGGAGGGCGCCGAUUACGGUGGGGUUGGUGAUUGGGGUUAAGUCAUAACAAGGUAGCAGUACCGGAAGGUGCGGCUG
rnacentral:rRNA from 1 species